rnacentral:rRNA from 1 species
GAGGUCCAGCCUGCCCAGUGACCACAAAUUUAACGGCCGCGGUAUUCUGACCGUGCGAAGGUAGCGCAAUCACUUGUCUUUUAAAUAAAGACCUGUAUGAACGGUUAAACGAGGGCUUAACUGUCUCCCAUCUCCAGUCAGUGAAAUUGAUCUAUCCGUGCAGAAGCGGGUAUAAUAAUACAAGACGAGAAGACCCUUUGGAGCUUAAGGUACAAAACUUAAUCACGUAAAGCAAUUCAAUAAAAAACAACCCUUUAAUCUCGUGACAAAUAAGACCAUACCUUCGGUUGGGGCAACCAUGGAGGAAAAAAAAGCCUCCAAGUGGACUGAGGCAAGCCACCUAAAACCAAGAGAGACAUCUCUAAGCCACAGAACAUCUGACCAUAAAUGAUCCGAUCAACUAAGAUCGAUCAACGAACCAAGUUACCCAAGGGAUAACAGCGCAAUCCCCUCCAAGAGCCCAUAUCGACGAGGGGGUUUACGACCUCGAUGUUGGAUCAGGACAUCCUAAUGGCGCAACCGCUAUUAAGGG